rnacentral:misc_RNA from 1 species
CUCUCUUUCUUCUAUCGAAUUCGAUCUGUCCCUGUAACCAGAAACCUAAAAUGUCUCACUUCGGUAGGUCUGGCCCUCCUGAUAUUGUUGACACGUACUCCCUGCUUGUCCUCAACAUCACCUUCCGUACUACUGCUGAUGAUCUGUUUCCUCUUUUUGACAAGUACGGGAAGGUCGUCGACAUCUUUAUCCCCAGAGAUCGAAGGACUGGUGACUC